rnacentral:lncRNA from 1 species
GUGCUGCGUGACCCCCUCGGCCAGCCCCGGGGCUGCGGGGGCUCAGUGCUGCCUCUUCCGCAGGCUGCCCCUGGAGUGCAGCCACAUCCAGCUGCUGGAGGGUGGCAGCUCCAGGGCCACCAGCUUCUCCAUCCAGCUGUUCCAGAUGCUGAACCACUCCGUGGCCUACCUGCACUGCGAGCUGAGGGUGUGCCUGCCCGGCCAGCCAGGAUGUGAGCAGGACUGCUUGGGAAGUGUGGAGCCCCUUGCCCAGCCCAGUGACAGGACCAGCCAUGGAAACCUGCACAGGCUGGUCUCCCUCGGGCCCGUCUGGAGGAUGGACAACAGGUUUCUGUACAAGGCAGAGGAAGGUGCUGCUCCUGCCGCGCUGCUGCCCAUCCUGCUGGGGGCCCUGGCGGGCUGUGCUGUCCUGGGCGCUGCUUUCAUGGGGCUGUGGCUGCACCAGCGGCACAGAGCCAAGCCCAGCCGUCAUCCCCUGCCUGGAGAAGUCCCCGGGCUGUGAUCCCAGCAGCUGAACUGCUGCUGCAGCUCCCCCGGCCGCCAGAGAAGCAGCUGCGUUUGCUUUGCUUCUGUAGAGCUCC